rnacentral:tRNA from 1 species
GCCUUGGUAGCUUAGUAGGUAGAGCGCGUGACUGUUAAUCACGAGGUCGUAGGUUCGAGUCCUGCCCAGGGCG